ACCUGGCUGGCGAUGGCUGCUGGAAGAGGAAGGGUUAAUGUGGCAAUGAUGUGACCCGGUAGGAUGUGAGCACCAUCCCUGUGGGACUGUGGCCUGUAAUUUCUUGGCAGAAGCCGUCCUCUCAGCGCUAAGGGAAGAAAAGCACCAGGCCGUUAACCAUAAAGGAAAAAUAAUACCGCACUCGGCAGAAAUCACAUCCAACUGGAGCCCGGUUUGUAAUCCUUCAUCCUUUCUGGGAGUCAGUCAGCUGCCGUGGACACCCCCACAGGAUGGAUCUUUUUCCAAGGCAACAAACGCUCAAUUCAUCGGGGAACUGGAGCCCGGCUCCCGUGCUGUUUCUUCGAGAUCCUUGAAAGGGUUGAAUACGAAUUGAAACCAAAGACAUAUUA